rnacentral:misc_RNA from 1 species
GAUGAAGAACGCAGCGAAAUGCGAUACUUGGUGUGAAUUGCAGAAUCCCGUGAACCAUCGAGUCUUUGAACGCAAGUUGCGCCCGAAGCCAUUAGGCCGAGGGCACGCCUGCCUGGGCGUCACACGUCGUUGCCCCCCCCAUCUACUCCUUCGGGAUUGCGGGGGGCGGAUGAUGGCCUCCCGUGCGCCUCGUCGCGCGGUUGGCAUAAAUGCCAAGUCCUCGGCGACGCACGCCACGACAAUCGGUGGUUGCGAAACCUCGGUUGCCCGUCGUGUGCGGUCGUCGCGCAUCGAGGGCUCGAAAAAAUUGCCGAGUUCCGGCUCGGCUUUCAACGCGACCCCAGGUCAGGCGGGGUUACCCGCUGAAUUUAAGCAUAUCAAUAAGCGGAGGA